rnacentral:rRNA from 1 species
AUGCAAGAGAUAGUAUGUGGCUGCUCGGGGAUUCCGAAGAAAAGCAACACCCGGACUUGCCGGUGCAGGUGCCCCGCGCUCAUACAAUUGCUCCGAUCAAAGGACAAUGGAUGGGACAUAAGUGAGUUCAUACCAUCACACAACCCUUCGUUAAUGGAGAAGUUUGGCGAGAAGGUGUACUGGCCGUCACACAGACAUAUCGAUAUAUACACACAUGAUGUGGUUAAGCAGCUCCGCGAAAAUAACAAUGGCAUUGGCAAGGUUUACAAUAUAAUUGGUAGUUUCUUUGGUUCAAUGUUCAAUGUGCCAUUCACCAAAAGAGCGUUGAGGGGGCUAUGUGGCAAGAUCAGCCGCGAGCAAGCAGGCGAUGAUGUCGGGAAGACAAUGGAUGCUUUUGUCGAGUUGGGAGCAAAAGAUACUGGUCUCUACAGAGUGCGGCCGGAUGAGGAUAGCCGCAUACAUAAUUUGUUAUGGUCAACUGGAUCAAGCAGGGCCCAGUACCACUUCUUUGGAGAUGCAAUAACAUUUGAGACAACAUACAGUACCGACUUCUAUGACAUGCCAUUUGGCCUGUUUGUAGGAGUCAACAACCACUUCCAUACCGUGAUAUUUGGUGGCGUCCUAGUAAGAGAUGAGAUAGUCGAGACUUUUUAG